rnacentral:rRNA from 1 species
UGGGGAAUAUUGCACAAUGGGCGCAAGCCUGAUGCAGCCAUGCCGCGUGUGUGAAGAAGGCCUUCGGGUUGUAAAGCACUUUCAGCGGGGAGGAAGGCGAUAAGGUUAAUAACCUUGUCGAUUGACGUUACCCGCAGAAGAAGCACCGGCUAACUCCGUGCCAGCAGCCGCGGUAAUACGGAGGGUGCAAGCGUUAAUCGGAAUUACUGGGCGUAAAGCGCACGCAGGCGGUCUGUCAAGUCGGAUGUGAAAUCCCCGGGCUUAACCUGGGAACUGCAUUCGAAACUGGCAGGCUAGAGUCGUGUAGAGGGGGGUAGAAUUCCAGGUGUAGCGGUGAAAUGCGUAGAGAUCUGGAGGAAUACCGGUGGCGAAGGCGGCCCCCUGGACAAAGACUGACGCUCAGGUGCGAAAGCGUGGGGAGCAAACAGG